AGAAAGAGAUGGAUUGGGAUCAGUUUGAACGGGAUAUUGGUCCGGUUCAAUAAGAAAACAGUGCUCUCAAAGUGCUUGAGCUCGGCUUUUUGAUUGAGCCGUGCCAAUAUCACGUGUCACUGUUCCUCUUAUCAUAUAUCCC